rnacentral:rRNA from 1 species
AACGAACGCUGGCGGCAUGCCUAACACAUGCAAGUCGAACGAAGGCUUCGGCCUUAGUGGCGCACGGGUGCGUAACGCGUGGGAAUCUGCCCUUGGGUUCGGAAUAACAGUUAGAAAUGACUGCUAAUACCGGAUGAUGUCGUAAGACCAAAGAUUUAUCGCCCAGGGAUGAGCCCGCGUAAAGAUUAGGUAGUUGGUGGGUAAAGGCCUACCAAGCCGACGAUCUUUAGCUGGUCUGAGAGGAUGAUCAGCCACACUGGGACUGAGACACGGCCCAGACUCCUACGGGAGGCAGCAGUGGGGAAUAUUGGACAAUGGGCGAAAGCCUGAUCCAGCAAUGCCGCGUGAGUGAUGAAGGCCUUAGGGUUGUAAAGCUCUUUUACCAGGGAUGAUAAUGACAGUACCUGGAGAAUAAGCUCCGGCUAACUCCGUGCCAGCAGCCGCGGUAAU